UUGUCGUCGUCGUCGGACGUCGACGCAGUCAUCGCCGGCGAUAUUCGAACGAAUGAACGGAUUAUCGGUGGUGUAGUAGCGGCCUUGUUUCGAAAGUACAUUCCCACCACGGGACGUGAAGGGACGUACGACUGCACCCCUUCCUCCAAUUCGCCCCACCUCCUUCACUCUAAUCGUACGCUCCUGCUGCUCUGGCUGCUCUUGCCACGCACGCACGGACGCACGACGCACGCACGCACUCAUGCAUGCAUGCAUGCAUGCAUGCAUGCACGCACGCAACUGCUUACAACGUCCCAACCAUGAUGACGUAGAGGGCACGAGGAGCAACAUCGUUAAGUGUCUCUCAACCUCUUCUCUCUGUCUCCCUGGCUCUUUUUUUAUUUUUAUUUUCAUUUUUAUUUAAUAUAUGUGUGUGUGUGUAUCUGUGUGUGUGUAUCUGUGUGUGUAUUAUGAUCGAUCUAAUAAGUUUUUUAAAAUAUUAAAAUGUUGAACGAUUAAUAUAUAUAUAUUUUUUUAUUUUUUUUAUUUAUCUCGGAAAUUGGUAUUAAGUAUAAAUUAGGCAUAAAUGUUUUAUUCGACUUUAAAUAAUGCAAUAUACUAAUAUACGUGUCUCUAUUGUCAGAGAAAGAGAGAGAGAGAGAGAGAGAGAAAAUCUUUUCGAUCUUAAAGAUACUCUCACGUUCCAUGUUUAUUUCCAGAUCACGAUCUUCGCCAGCUGGUGAUCUAUUUUAAUCGAUAGGACGUGUAUUCAUGAAGGAAACGAAGCACCGUUUUUUCUUUGCUUUCGCGCGCGCGUCAAUGAGUCCGAGGCUCCCUCCGCGAUUACUACGGCCCGUUUCGGUUUUGUUCGGCUAUACUCGGUUUGUUUCGACUCCGCUGGACGCACUACGAAACGAGCGCAAGAAAAGGAGGCCGCAUUACAGUUAUCCCAACUCAGGAGGAGACCGGCAAAAUAUCAGGGUAUACGAGAGAGAGAGAGAGAGAGAGAGAGAGAGAGAGAGAGAGAGAGAGAGAGAGAGAGAGAGAUGUGGAGCUGUUUCUGGCGCGUCCUCUACUACCACACAACUACUUACUACCCUACACGUAUUGCCGUCAAAUGUAUUUUCCAUCAUCGCUAAGCACGAAAUAUUGUAUUCGAAAAAUGUUGACUCUGGGUUUCAAAAAUGCAUCCCCCUCUUUCUCUAUUCGAUAUAUUAUUUAUCAGAAUUUUAUUGUUUUUCGAUAUUGAGAAAGAUAAGAAAGAAAAAAGAAAACAAAGAAAUAAUUGGAGAAUCUUUUUUUAACAAAACAAAAAAAUUCAUUUCCGUACCAUUGGUUAAAAAAGAGAGAGAAAGAAAGAAAAAAAGAAAUUAUUUGACAUCAUUAAAAAUUAUUAUAAUAUUAUCGUAAGACAAAAGAGACAAAAACAGAGUAAUCUUGAAAUCCUUGAUGAAUUGAGCGGGCGAUUACGAACUGAUAAAGAUAAUAAAGUUGCAACCUGAUAAAAGUUGAUUCGAUAUAUCGGCGUCGAAGGGUUGUCGUUUCGUUCACGCAAUCUGUCGUGUGUGUAUAUGUGUAUGUGUAUGUGUUGUGUGUGUGUGUGUUAUAAGUGUAUGUAUGUAUACAUAAUAUAUUCCGUGGCCAAAAAGAUUCGUAUAUCGAGCGAGACACCGGUCUCAUUCAUUGGUUCUAAAUAUACAUCGUGACGUCACCCUAUUGGACGUCACAACACGAAGUGAGAAAGAGAGAGAAAGACAGAAAGAGAAAGAGAAUACUCGGUGUAUCUUUUACGGUCGUCCUAUCACGUGCUCGACGUACGCCUCUUUUAUACGCGUUUGGACGACUGCCGCAUAUGUACAACACUACGAAGCGAUGAAGACGAUACGAAGACGAAGACAACAAUUAAAAUGAAGAUUGUUAAAACAUAGAUGAUGAUGACGAUGAAGACAACGACUAAAACAACAACAAAGGACGACGAUAACAUGAAGAUGAAGAUGAUUAGGAGUUCCGAUGAAAGAGAGGGAAGAGGGAAAUGAAAUUAAAGAAGGAGUAAGGGGAAGUAUAAAUACGAAAGAGAGAGAGAGAGAGCACGCACGCACGCACACGAGGGACUUUUAGAACGAUUCCUCUGAGAAUUCUCUCCUCUAGCAGCAGUAGCAGCAGCAGCAGCACACGCGUGUCUCUCGACAUACUUGUGUUAUAUGUAGUUAUUAUUUCUCUUUCUUCUACGUAGCAUAUGGCCAUAUCGAGAGGCCCCAGGUAUAUUACAUACAUAUAUACAUACAUAUACAUACACACUAUAUAUAUAUAUAUAUAUAUAUAUAUAUAUACCAUAAAAUUCUAAAAAUAGAAUCGUCGGUCUUGAUAAGAUUUCUAUAAUACGUAAUUAAAGAAGCAUUUGGAAAUAAGAUAGCGCGACGAGAGGUGGGUGGAGAGUUGGGCAGGAAAUUUCAAAAAGGGAGCGAGGAAGAUACGAAGAUGAACGAGAGAAAAAAGUAAUGGUCGUAAAGUACGAACAAAAGAUUGUAAUAAGAAAGAGAGUAAUAGUAAUAGUUGUAGUAGUGGAGUAGUAGUAAUAAUAGUAGUAUUUAGUUAGCUAUCUAAGUAGAGAGAGGUGGCGGAUGGGGGAAAAGAUUGGUGAGGAGAGAGAGAGAGAGAGAGAGAGAGAGAGAGAGAGAGAGAGAGAGAGAGAGAGAGAGAGAGAGAGAGA